CCCCUGUCACGGACUUGCUGGAGUGUUACCUCUUUGAAGCCUCACUCCCGCCCGUUAGGAAGCUGCUGCAGUCCUGACUCCUGCGUCACAGUGUCAGCUCAUAUCAGGGGGCCCUGAGCUUCCUGGAAGGUCACCUUACCAGUCCUCUGCAGGACCGAGGCUGUGUGGACGGAGGCUGUGUGGAUGGAGAUCCCACCAUCACCGAGUUCGGGCAAGUCCCAUGAGGGUCUCAGCUCCUCAUCCGUAACAUCAGGAUGAUAAAGCCUCCCUCGCAGGAUGGCCGUGCGAGUGCCCAGAUCCCAGGAGAGGGCUGGUAAAUGGGCGUUGCCUGCCCCAUCCCUUUCUACCUGCACGGAAAAGGAGAGAUGGCCCAGCCUCAGGUCAUCAGGACCCUUGAGCCAACCCUGCAUCUCAGCCCUGACUCCCACCCAGAAUGCCGGCCUUCCUCACCAAGGGUCUGGCUGACACCUCUGCGAUGCUCAUCACUAGUCACUUGGGAUUCCCUGGUGAUAUGGUUUGGCUGUGUCCCCACCCAACUCUCAUCUUGAAUUGUAGUUCCCAUAAUCCCCACAUGUCAUGGGAGGGACGGGGUGGAGAUAAUUCAAUCAUGGAGCGGUUUCCUCUGUCCUGUUCUCAUGAUAGUGAGCUAGUUCUCACGAGAUCUGAUUGUUUUAUAAAGGGCUUCUUUCUUCGCUGGGCACUCAUUCUCUCUCCUGCCAUCAUGUGAAGAGGGUCUUUGCUUCCCCUUUACUUUCCAUCAUGAUUGUAAGUUUCCUGAGGUCUCCCCAGCCAUGCGGAACUGUGAGUCAAUUAAACCUCUUUCCUUUAUAAAUUACCCAGUCUUGGGUAUUCCUUCAUAGAAGCAUGAGAAUAGACUAGUACACCUGGGGAGCAAGGCCUAGGGUGAAAAGUGAAGCUCAGAGCAGUUACCCUCC
rnacentral:lncRNA from 1 species